rnacentral:rRNA from 1 species
CAAGCGUUGUCCGGAAGUUACUAGGGUGUAAGGGAGCGCAGGCGGGAAGACGAAGUUGGAAGUGAAAUCCAUGGGCUCAACCCAUGAACUGCUUUCAAAACUGUUUUUCUUGAGUAGUGCAGAGGUAGGCGGAAUUCCCGGUGUAGCGGUGGAAUGCGUAGAUAUCGGGAGGAACACCAGUGGCGAAGGCGGCCUACUGGGCACCAACUGACGCUGAGGCUCGAAAGUGUGGGUAGCAAACAGGAUUAGAUACCCUGGUAGUCCACACCGUAAACGAUGAUUACUAGGUGUUGGAGGAUUGACCCCUUCAGUGCCGCAGUUAACACAAUAAGUAAUCCACCUGGGGAGUACGACCGCAAGGUUGAAACUCAAAGGAAUUGACGGGGGCCCGCACAAGCAGUGGAGUAUGUGGUUUAAUUCGACGCAACGCGAAGAACCUUACCAAGUCUUGACAUCCCUUGACGAUGCUGGAAAUAUGUUUUUCUCUUCGGAGCAAAGGAGACAGGUGGUGCAUGGUUGUCGUCAGCUCGUGUCGUGAGAUGUUGGGUUAAGUCCCGCAACGAGCGCAACCCUUAUGGUCAGUUACUACGCAAGAGGACUCUGGCCAGACUGCCGUUGACAAAACGGAGGAAGGUGGGGAUGACGUCAAAUCAUCAUGCCCUUUAUGACUUGGGCUACACACGUACUACAAUGGCGUUAAACAAAGAGAAGCAAGACCGCGAGGUGGAGCAAAACUCAGAAACAACGUCCCAGUUCGGACUGCAGGCUGCAACUCGCCUGCACGAAGUCGGAAUUGCUAGUAAUCGUGGAUCAGCAUGCCACGGUGAAUACGUUCCCGGGCCUUGUACACACCGCCCGUCACACCAUGAGAGCCGGGGGGGACCCGAAGUCGGUAGUCUAACCGCAAGGAGGACGCCGCCGAAGGUAAAACUGGUGAUUGGGGUGAAGUCGUAACAAGGUAGCCGUAGGAGAACCUGCGGCUG